AUUGAACGCUGGCGGCAGGCUUAACACAUGCAAGUCGAGCGGGGUGAUGGUGCUUGCACUAUCACUUAGCGGCGGACGGGUGAGUAAUGCCUAGGAAUCUGCCUAUUAGUGGGGGACAACAUCUCGAAAGGGAAUCUAAUACCGCAUCCGUCCUACGGGAGAAAGCAGGGGAAGACUUGUGACCUUGCGCUAAUAGAUGAGCCUAGGUCGUAUUAGCUGGUUGGUGGGGUAAAGGCCUACCAAGGCGACGAUCUGUAGCGGGUCUGAGAGGAUGAUCCGCCACACUGGGACUGAGACACGGCCCAGACUCCUACGGGAGGCAGCAGUGGGGGAUAUUGGACAAUGGGGGGAACCCUGAUCCAGCCAUGCCGCGUGUGUGAAGAAGGCCUUAUGGUUGUAAAGCACUUUAAGCGAGGAGGAGGCUCUUUUGGUUAAUACCCAAGAUGAGUGGACGUUACUCGCAGAAUAAGCACCGGCUAACUCUGUGCCAGCCGCCGCAGUAACAC
rnacentral:rRNA from 1 species